UAAUGAUGCUGAUGUUGAUGCUGAUGCUGAUGCUGAUGGUGAUGAUGAAAUUGAAGGCCGUAGAGAUCACUGCAAUACCAGCAUGAGUAUCAGUAUUAUCAUCAUUACCGCCA
rnacentral:pre_miRNA from 1 species